AAGGGAUGCCUGGACAGCUCCGGGCAUCACAGCAAUGAAGGGAUGCCUGGACAGCUCCGGGCAUCACAGCGGUGAAGGGAUGCCUGGACAGCUCCGGGCAUCACAGCGGUGAAGGGAUGCAGUGGGGGCUGUGGCCGGCCCGCUCUGGAACGGCCCCGGCUCGGCCCCGCUUCACCGUCUCAGCCCUGUCUCGGCCCUCCUGGGGCACAGCCUCGGACCUGCCUGCGGCAUCUCUCAGCGUCCGUCCGGGCCCACCUCUGGCCCUUUCAGAUCCAGCUCCCCUCAGGUCUAGGUGCAGCCCCCAACCCGCCCAGGCUGUGUUGAACACCUCCCUCUGCUUCCCCACAGCUGCCCUGGCAGAAGCCUCGGGGAUGUGCUGCAAACCCCAGGCUGUGGCUGAGGUCCCCUCGUUUGCAGUUUUCACAAGGCAUGAGUGCUCUGCGAGCCCUUGCACCCUCACCAUGUCCUUUGUUACAAGUGGUCCCUAAUAACCAGGUAACUUAGGAUCAUGGAAUCAUGGAAUUGAGUUGGAGGGACCUUAAAGCCAUCCAGUGCCACCCCUGCCAUGGGCAGGGACAUUUCCCACUGUCCCAGGGUGCUCCAAGCCCUGUCCAACCUGGCCUUGGACACUUCAGGGGAAGCCUGGCAGUGUUACUUGUCCUUUGAUUACACGAAAGAAGCAGCAGACACAGGGCGGUUCUCAGUCCUGGCAGAAUACCCUGAUACCUGGUUCCUUGAGACUCCCUGGAGCCAAAGUCAGUCUGAGACACCGAUCACAGGGACAGGAUAUUUAUCCUUGCCUAAUCUGGCUAACUCAGAGAUUAAACCGGACAUCUGCAUUGCAGCUACCUCGGGGCCAGGUUAUUAGCACUGCUUGAUUAAAACAGAGCAGUAUUUACAUAGCAGAGAUUUAUCAGAGGUAAAUUAGAGAUGUAUUGGGCACAAACUGCAUGGGAGGCUCAAAAAGACAACGAGAAUUCACCUCCCCGAGUCAGAAGGGCAAAUAUAACACGAAACAAACUCUUCAAAGGUUUCUCAAGGAAGGAAUAAAAGCCAGUACAGAUUGGGGGACAUUUAUUAGACAGAUACCACAAAAAUGCUGAGAUGCUUCCCAAAGAAAGGGGAAGGGCUUAGUGAUGUGGAUGAAUGUGCCUGUCACUAAUUGCAGUGGUAAUCGGGUAUUUCUGGCACAAGUGAAUGUUUGUUUAACACCAGCCAUCUAGGAAGGGCAGAGCAGGGUGGAUUUAAUGCAUUUCCCACUGUUUUCCAGUGACCUCACACAGAACAUCACCUGUUGUGUGGCAGCUUUUCCAGAAGUUUCAGGGCAUUUAAAUAUGAGGAUCACUGAGCUGUGAAGGGCAACAGCCUCUCAGAGGUACAAAGCUGCAGUCCCUGCUCAUCUGAGCUUAUUCUGGAUGGAAUGAACUGCACCAAGAGCUCAUAAAGGCUUAAGUGUCACUCAUAUCCCAGCAGAGCUGCUGGGAGACUUUAUUCUGCAAAUCUACAGAGUCCUCCUGGAGAUCAGUGGAGCUGCUCUCAAUUUGCCAGCACUGCAAGCCCGGCUUCUGCCUUGAUUUUUAUUCCCAAUUUGUUGUUUAAAUUCGAGUCGUGGCUGCAUUCAUGCAUCUCAGAGCAGCCAUUCAUUAUUCAGAAUAUGCAAAGGAGAGCAGCACAGGUAGAGCUUCCUGUGCUAAUCCAUUUUAGGUUUAGCAGAGAUUGGGCUUGAAAGAGGAAGAAAUGAGGAGUAGAGACAUUGUAGGGAGGAGGAUUCCCAGCAGGUUGGUCGGGGCUUCAGUGAGCUGAUAUAUUCUGGGCUAUUCAGCUCCUGCAAACUGAAAUACCUUGUUUCAUGCCAAUGGAUUUAUGCUAAUCUUCCCUACAGCAACCCGAGCACAAGAUUUAAUUAUUAAUGCUAUCAUUUAUUAUGCCAUGUAUUAAUAAAGGAAUGUAGCUCAGCUUGUAAAAACCACUGCGCUUCAGAUCCCAGCAAAACAGGCUGUGUAACUGUAGGCUGUUAAUAUUCCUUCUCACCUUUUCUUUGAGUGGAAAACCCUUUGCUGUGUGCCAGGAGGAUGGGGAGUGCGUCUGCAGCCAGCCUUGCAGUGUGGAACUUCCAUGGGACUCGGGGUGAGGAUGGAGCUUUGGAAAGGAAAGCCACUCCUGAAGGCAUCCUGCUCCCAAAACUGGUAUUUCCAGGCACAGAGGAGUGCUGGUGGAUUCCCCCAUUCCCUCUGUGUCCCUUUUGCUGCUUUCUGCCAUAAUGCAGAGGAUAAUCAAGCCCCUGGAUGUGUUACUGUUAGAAAAAUCAAUACAGUGAGCAGAGCAAGGGAAUAAAGCAUGGCUGGUUCCGGCAAGAAUGGAGUGGCCUGGGCCACUUGUCUCACCUGUAGCAGCUCAGCAUUGUCCCCCUUCCCCCUGAUGGAGCUGAAGCUGCUCCCUUACUGGUUUAACUGGGUUUGAGUGUCCCCAGCCCAUCAACACUUCAGGCAGAAGAUCCCAAGCCCAGGUUCACCCCUUGCAGACCUCUCCUGGGUGACCUAAAUAAAGCAAAUUAUUCUGAGGGAUGGUGCAGGAAUGAAAAGGCAGCGGUGCCUCAUCCCUGGAAGAGUCCAAGGCCAGGCUGGAGCAGCCUGGGACAGUGGGAGGUGUCCCUGCCCAUGGUCCCUCCCAACCCAAACCAUUCCAUGAUUCCAAAUCCCACUGCUGCCCAAGGAAAAGCAACAACUCCAUGACAGAACAUUCCCGUUCCUUCCUUCUCCUCUGCUGCAUCCAGAAUUAACACAUCCCAACCUGCAACUGGCAUUUCCUGAAGGAAAAGCUCAGCCCUGAGCCCUGUGCUGGGGCCUGACUGAGCACCAAGAAAUUACCUGAAUGCACCCCGUGAUCUCUAGGGGGGGUUGCCUUUUUUUCCUUUUUUAAGCGAAGAAUUUCUCCAUCAGAAACUGCGACAGGGACAUUUAGGGCGGAGCCUGCAGUGGCUGCUGCUGCUGCUGCUUUUGUUGCAGAAGCAGAGAAGGAGAUGUGCCUGCUUAACUGGGAUUUACACAGAAAUCAAGCAGUCCUGAGUAAAAGAAAAAAGCAAAAACACUGGUUUUCCUUUUUAAAAAAAUGAUUUUUACUUCAUAAAAGCCCAGCUCUGAGGGAGCGGGGAAUCAGGCACUCCCACUGCUAAAAACAUUCAAUAGCUCUGAUGUCAAGUCUUACGGAUUUGUCUAAAAUUAUAUCAAAGUCUCUGAAUGAGUUGAAUUAAAACAGGCAAAAGAAAAUGCUCUGAUCUACUUUGAUGAAUUGGAGCAAAACCUCACAUUUUAGGAAUUCCUCUUCCUAUAUUCCAAACAGUCCUUUUAAUACAAGGCAACACUCAAAGGAAUUUCCAAAGCAAAGCAGAAUUUUGUCUGCAAGGACUGAGCUACAGUCUCUGGGAGACUCAGAAGAAAUGCAAAGAAGGGUUUAAUUUCUUUCCUUUGAACCACUGUUUGCUUUGUUGGUGCCAGACAUAGCAAGUGCCUGGGCAGCUUUCAUGAUUUUAUUAUUACUUACACCAAUUCCUGCUCACAGUAACAGCAAUUUGCUCACUUUGAGUUUGCUCUGUCUCUUGAUUACAGGAGCUGGAGGAAGCAGGCAGCCAAUUCUUUCAUCUGAGCUCUAUCAGGGAGAGCUUAAUUAGAAGAUCCAUUAAUUAGCUUUGUUUACUUGUUGGAUCAGGCCUCCAAACUAGGCCGCAACAUCCGAUGGCAGAUCCCAGGGUUGGUUCUUAUCUCCCAGAAUCAAUUAAAGGGAUGUUCUGCUUUUGGUUCCAGCAAUUAGACAUCAACUGAGAGGGUUUUGGGCCAAAUCCCAGGUUUGGCUGGAAAGGGACCUCAAAAAGCAUCUUUUGCCACCUCCUGCCAUGGGCAGGGCACCCUCCCCUGGACCAGGCUGCUCCAGCCUGGCCGUGGGAACUUCCAGGGAUGGGGCAGCUCCUCUGGACAAAUAAAACUCCUGAAAAAGCCCUCCCAGCCUAUUUGGAAUGAGACAACUUUUUAAUUUGCAAAGUUUCAUUGCUUUAAUUGGGUCUUCUCCAAUGUGAGGAGCAAGGGUUGGACCCAACAGCCCCAGGGCCACACCAGGAGCUGAGUUUAAGCUGGCCCUGGCUUUAGGCUUCACCGGAGUCCCCCCACUUAAGGCCACCUGACGAUCUGAGUUGAGCUGAGCUUUGUUGUGCUCGAAAAAGCUGCUCUGGGGACCAGCUCCAUCCCUGCUGCAAAGAUUUAAGGGAUCUCUAAUAACAAUUCCAUUUUUGGGGUGCUGGUUGAGGGCUGGGUGCUGAAGGAACAAGUGCUUGAACCAGUGCAUCUGGUAAUAACAGGAGAAAUUCAACAUCCCUCAGGUUUUGGGAGAUGAAUCCUCAUAGCAGCAGCAAUAUCCAGGGGGAAGCAGUGGGACUAUUUCCCUAUUUUCCCUUUUUUUUGCUGUGCCAGCUUGAGAAAGUCCUGUUGGUGACAGGGCAAAGAGAGAAAACUGCAUUUACAACACAGCUGAGAGCACAUGGAGGCUCAUAAGGCAGCCAGAGACUCCAUUUCCUUCCCCAAAUUUUCCAGUAUGAAUGAAAAUAAAGAUAAAACAUGGGUCCAAAAGAUCAUUUAUUUGUGGGCUGCACGGGCAAUUAAAAAGCAGAGAGAUUUUACCGUUGUGGUUUUAUCUGCAGGGAGCUGAAGCACAGAAUUCCAGGAUGUUCUUCCUUUGGUCACAGAGAGGGAUGAACAGCUGAGGAAUGCUUUCCCUAACAUUCAGUUAUUUCAAUCUUUGGGAUAUUUUUUUCCCCGUGCUGCAGAGGCAGCAAUAAAAUCCACCUUUGAGUGAGUGAAUCAUCUCCCCACACGUACAAGUGCAAAGCAUUUCUUGGGAAGAUGUAAAAAUCCCUUUAUUUCCCAGUCUGGCACGAGCUGCUGCCCAUAAAACACAGAUCCAGGGAGCAAUAGAGCUGGGAGAGCUCUGCUGCAGUGAGGCAGCUCGAGGCAGCUGAAUGUGCUCAGCUCUGCAGUCUGUGAAUAAAAAUCCCUGAAUUCUGCAGCCAGAGCACCUCUCCUCCCACGCCAGAGCUCCCUGCAGGCAGCACAUUCCCGGUGGUGUCCUUAGGGAUGGGAGUCCACGAUUUCUGUGGGAUGGAAUAGGAAUCACCUCCAGCACUCCGGGUUUAUUUUAAUAUCACUUAAUUGAAAGGUUUGCAGAGGUCUGCAAAUACUCAUCUCCAUUUCAGCUCUUUCAUCCCUGGCACUUCUCCUCCUGGAGAGAAAAGGGCUUUGCACCAUUCUGAGGCAGAGAUUAAGUUAUAAAUUACCCAGCCUGGAUGAGAGGCUCUCACAGCAGAGGUUACUGGGAGAAUCAGGGCAUUUAUUGGCACUAAGUGAAGAUAAGGAGUUGCUGGUUUUAAUUUUUGGAAUUUUUUUGUGGGAAAUAUUUUUGUGUAUUUUUU
rnacentral:lncRNA from 13 species